UGUUGUGACUUCUGAUGGGAGAAGAUGCUUCAGUAAUAUUCGAUAUCCAUCCACGUUGCAUCACUAGCUAUCCUGAUCCAAGUUCCUGGCCAGACCAGACCAGAUCACAGACCAGACCAGAUCACAGGCCAGACCAGAUCACAGGCCAGACCAGCAACUGAAAGGAAUUAACUUAAAUAGACAUGGUGAUUAACCUACCAGAACACAGCGAGUUGGAGGCCAGGAGUGGAGGUCCAACCUACAACUUCAAGUCAAAUGGAAGAAAGUAACACUCUUGGAAGUAUAACACAAAUGCAUUCCUCAAAUUGCAUGCAGAAAAUCGCUCAA